rnacentral:lncRNA from 1 species
AGAGUCUUUUUGGAAGGGCCUUACCAGGAGCUCUCUGAAAAGUGGAGUAAAUUAUGUCAACCGGAUCAACAUUGUUUUCAGUUUUAUCGACCUAGAAAUGAUAACUGUAAUAUUUCCUGCAAAUGUCUUGAUUCGGCAGAAGUUGCACUUGUGAUAGUUAAUGCACAAUUUGAAGAAUUCAUUCCCAGGUACAGAAACACAUUGGAGGAACACAGCAGCCAUAGGAGACAAAUGAGCCCAAUGAGAAAUUCUGCUACCCUGCUCCUGCCGGGAUUUACCUUGCUCUCCACUUUUUCUGCCUGGUUUUCUUUUUAACCUCAGAGGUAACGAUGGGUCCAUUGGAUAAAAAAAUGGGAAGGAAACUGGUUAAUUCGGGAGGUUUCUGAGUGUUCUUUUGACCACAUAGUGUUGGCUGUGUCCAGAGUGAGUAUGAUGAAACCAUAAAGUGUCAGCCCUGAGAGACCACAAGGUUGAAGGCCAGACCAUCCUGGAGAAAGUGGAUACCUCUCUAGGAAGCUUCUAGAACAGUCUCCAAGGAGGGCCAGCUCUGACCUGCAGGGGGGUGAAUCAAUGUACUCUGGCAGGUAGGUCGCUGGGGCACAGUGUCAGGGAGGCAGAGGGGGUGGCCGUCAGCACUCAGAAGCCUGGCCAAGGGAGCAGGAACUCAACAGCGGAGACCUAAGACUGAGACAGGAAGAAGCAAAGGGGUGCUGGGCCAAGGGCUUCCUCCCCUUCCAAGGCAGCUGUAAGGACUCAGAAUGUUCCUCCAGGUCUAUGUUUCUCAGCCUUCCAAAUCCUCAUGCCAGUUAGAUCCAAACCUAGCCGAGAAGGAGGUCCCUGCAUUUGUUCUCUUGCCUUUAGCCUGCCUUCGGGGGAAUGAUGGUCCCAGUCGCCUGCACCUCCAGCCAGCCUGGCACAGUCUGAAGAACGUGGACUUGAGGCCGGAUGAGGUCAGAUUUCAUCUGGACUAAGAGCCCAAGCAAACACCUCCAAUUCCUAGCGGCUUGGGUUGGAGGUCACGUGAGAGAUGGUGGUAUCUUCCAAAGUUCAGUCCUGACCAAACACCCCGUGUUUUUUAUUCACUCCAUUUUACUUAGCUUUUUUUCCCAUCACCUUGUCCAUCAGUGGCACACGGAUCACCCCGUGGGAAAUGGUGAGACUGCGUCACUGCACCACCUGUCUCAGAGACGGACUUACGGUUGUGUCUACCCCUCUGCUUCAUGGCCUUGAGUGCUCUGCCUCACCCCUCCCCACCUCACCCCGCCCCACCUCACCCCUCCUUGAACCUGAGUGAAGCCCCUGCUGAUCUCUGUCCCACACCUGCUGGAGAGACCUGUUCCAACUGAGACGGCUUCUCUGGAACGCCACGGUCUCACACUUGACUGCAGGCAUGGCCUUCACCUGUGGGUCCAGAUGCCUCACCUGGGUCACCCAGUCAGGCCCCCUGAUGUGGGUGCGGCGCAUAUUAGUCCUCAGAGCAUCAGGAACUUUGAACUCUGUUGCCCACCCUCCUGCAGGAUCAGCCCUACAAACCUGCAUUGCACUCUGGAGCCCCUGCCCGAGAGGCUUUCUGUCCCAGCUCAUCACUAAAACUCCAGCCCACCUGUAUCCAAAAGAGCCCUGGGCAGCGGGGAGGACCAACACCAGCACAGAAGUAAGACCAGGCAUUGCAUUUGGGAGCUGGAGGGACCUCACUCUAGAGCACGUCUGUCACCGUCACUCAGACCAAGAUGUCUGUUAUCACCUCCCAGGUAUCUCUCCUAUUCUCUCUGAUUCGGUAUCACCCAACGGCAAAACUCCUGAGAAAUUCUGACUUUUCUUUUUAGAACUGAAUUUGUCUAUUUUGUAUGUUGCUGAAAAAAGAGAAGAAAAGGAAUCCAGCAACAGAGGGUGAUCCCAGGCCACUCAGGAUCAGAAUGAAAACCCACAUCUGGAUUGUACUAAGCCUUUAUUCCUAGAGAAGCCACUAGUUACCUCUUCACCCAGAACUGGGGGACCUGAGGCCUCUGUUGCCCAAACCUAGCAGGUGCUUACAAAUUAUUCAUUUUGGUAGAGGCACAUGUGGGAGAGAGGGAAAAGGAGCUUCCUUUUGCUCACCUGGUUUUAUCUUCCAACCUAGAACAGGGAGGAGAGGGGAGGGAGGAGUUUAGGGACAGGAGCCACCUUUCAGCCUGCCAACCCAUCCCUGGAGCAUUAUCUGUCAGCCCUCAAACCUCUGCAUGCUGAGCAAUGUACACUCCUCAGAAAAGCACAGGACAGCCCCAGAGCCAGGCAUCCACGCAAUGAUUAGGCUGCCUCUUGGUCUCAAGCAAAGGAAUCAUUGGUACUGGAAAGGAAUGAAGAAUUUGGGGGGGAAAAUCAGUCUUUUCGUCUGCACAGUGUUGAAACAUUUGGAUCAAACAUGAGACAUCACUUCAAGCCAGAUGUUUUCUAGGCAUUUCCACCAAGUUUCGAUAUUUGGAAACACUAAAUAUGUACUGACAUUUCAGUAUCUUUUCAAAGACCAAAACAUAGAAGCCAAUAAACGCUUCCUUUCUGAGACCUUAUAAAGAUAGACGAAGAGAUAGACUUGGCGAGGUUUAAAACCACAACUUAUGUGGCUACUUGAAAUAGCUGAGAAAAAAAAAUAUGUUUUCCUAAGUGUUAUGGACUGAAUGUCCAUGUCCUCCCCAAAAUACAUAUGUUGAAAUCUCAUCCCCACCAGUGGUGGUUUUUAGAGGUUGAGACAUUUGGAGAUGAUGAAUGUCAAGGUGGAGCCUUCAUGAAAGGGGUUAGGGUCCUCAAAGAAGAGACCAGAGAACUAGCUCCAACCAUUCCACCAUGUGAAGACACAAGGAGAAAUCGGCAGACUGCAACUCAGAGGGCCCUUACCAGAACCCAGCCAUGCUGCAUCCUGAUCUUGGAAUUGCAAUCUCUGGAACUGUGAGAGGUAAAUACCCGUUGUAUAUAAGCCACCUAAUCCAUGGUACUUUGUUAUAACAAGUGGACCAAGACACCAAGUGAAGAGAUUUCCCCCCCUUACAAUCACUCAUAUGAUUAUAAGAGAAAAUAAAUUUUCAAACCAGUGACCAAUUAGGUCAUCAAUUUUAGGAGCAAUUAUUAAGUAAGAUUUCAAUAAAUAAUAGAAUUUCUGGA